rnacentral:miRNA from 1 species
UGUGUAUAGGCAUGUAUGUGUGCUUGCACAUGUGUGUGUGUAUAUAUACAUAAACAUACAUCCAAAAAUAUAUACUACAUCCCUAAAUCA